GUGUAAUAGGGGGGCAGCUGCCGGGAUAAUGCGGAGGGGGCGAGCCGUAGUCGGAAUCACUGGGCGUAAAGGGUGGGCAGGCAGUGUUGUAAGACCGAUGUGGAAUCCCCGUGCUCAACCUGGGAACGGCAUUGGUGACUGGAAGGCUGGAGUGCGGCAGAGGGGGAUGGAAGUCCGCGUGUAGCAGUGAAAUGCGUAGUGAUGCGGAGGAACACCGAUGGCGAAGGCAAUCCCCUGGGCCUGCACUGACGCUCAUGCACGAAAGCGUGGGGAGCAAACAGGAUUAGAUACCCUGUAGUC
rnacentral:rRNA from 1 species